rnacentral:rRNA from 1 species
AUUGAACGCUGGCGGAAUGCUUUACACAUGCAAGUCGAACGGCAGCACGGACUUCGGUCUGGUGGCGAGUGGCGAACGGGUGAGUAAUACAUCGGAACGUGCCCAGUCGUGGGGGAUAACGUAGCGAAAGCUACGCUAAUACCGCAUACGAUCUAAGGAUGAAAGCGGGGGAUCGCAAGACCUCGCGCGAUUGGAGCGGCCGAUGGCAGAUUAGGUAGUUGGGGGGGUAAAGGCUCACCAAGCCGACGAUCUGUAGCUGGUCUGAGAGGACGACCAGCCACACUGGGACUGAGACACGGCCCAGACUCCUACGGGAGGCAGCAGUGGGGAAGUGUGGACAAUGGGCGCAAGCCUGAUCCAGCCAUUCCGCGUGCAGGAUGAAGGCCCUCGGGUUGUAAACUGCUUUUGUACGGAACGAAAAGGCUCUGGUUAAUACCUGGGGCUCAUGACGGUACCGUAAGAAUAAGCACCGGCUAACUACGUGCCAGCCGCCGCAGUAA